GAGACACCCUUAUGGAGCAGGACUUGCUUCGGUGGGGCUUUGGUGUUCACUGAGUCUGCUUCUUGAGUGUGUCGCU
rfam:Myotis davidii contig149903, whole genome shotgun sequence.